GAGUUCAUAUUAAAGCCGGCGCUACACGAUGCUACGAUCACCUUUCAACGUUGUAGGCUUGACGGUUUAUCGCAUCGUGUGGCCGACUUUCGAACUUAGAGCUACCAAUGUCGAGCGUCCAACGCAUGGGGGGCUCAGUCAUAUUGCCAUGCGCGUACCCAUGUUUUUGGGAGCGCCGUCUCGCCAUCUGUGACUGGUUUUUUCAAGAUAAAUUGAAUGAAGAGACAAUUUUACAGUUUCCACUUAAGGGCAUAAAAGAGACAAUCUUAUAGUUUCCACUUAGGGGCAUAGAUGAUAUGACAUGGCAGCGCAUUUAUGAAACGUGGGGAUUUGCUAUUUUUAGGUUACAACAUAGAUAAACACGAGUAUAGAUUAUCCGUAAAUCCCUAGCGUAUAUCAUAGAUGUUAUUAAGAAAUGAGCAUUAAUAUUGAUCGUUGCUGUAUGCCUCAGUGUGAUGAUACAUCUUCAAGGCGGUGUCUAUUUGGUCAGAAUCCAAAGUUGAGAAUGGUUCGGAUCAGGCGGAUUGGGUGUGACAAGUAUUUUAUAACUUUACACUUAUUAUUAUUAUACUUAUUAUCGUAGAUUUUAGACUUAUCAACCCGAUAUCCUGGUACACAAUUAUAUGUCGGUAUAUGUUAUUGUGAUGUUCAUCCAACUACCUAAAUAUAUAUCUGCAUUGAUAAUUGCACUUAAUUAAUUAAUUUAUUGUUACAUUGAAAUAUUUGUUUAUUUGCUUAAUCCUUGAUUCGUAACGUGCUCAUUUUGCUUUUUGAUCAAAGGUUUGUGGUUUGUAUAGUACACUUUUCACAAAUGAAUGGUACUUGGCGUUUCGCCUAUUUACUUAAUGCAAUAAAAAAUUAAAAAUG